rnacentral:rRNA from 1 species
GAUGAACGCUAGCGGCAGGCUUAAUACAUGCAAGUCGUGGGGCAGCGCAGUGUAGCAAUACAUGGGCGGCGACCGGCAAACGGGUGCGUAACACGUACGCAACCUUCCCGUUACUGGGGAAUAGCCCAGGGAAACUUGGAUUAAUACCCCAUAUUAUAUUGAUUGGGCAUCUAAUUAAUAUCAAAGCUUCGGCGGUAACGGAUGGGCGUGCGGUUGAUUAGGUAGUUGGCGGGGUAACGGCCCACCAAGCCUACGAUCAAUAGCUGAUGUGAGAGCAUGAUCAGCCAAACGGGCACUGAGACACGGGCCUGACUCCUACGGGAGGCAGCAGUAAGGAAUAUUGGGCAAUGGACGAAAGUCUGACCCAGCCAUGCCGCGUGGAGGAUGAAGGUCCUCUGGAUUGUAAACUUCUUUUUUCUGGGGCGAAAACCGGUUUUUCUAAACCAUUUGACAGUACCAGAAGAAUAAGCACCGGCUAACUCCGUGCCAGCCGCCGCAGUAAUAC